AUAGGUUAUAUGGCUCCAGAAUAUUUGCUUGGCGGCAUAUUUUCAGAGAAAUCUGAUGUCUUUGGCUUUGGAGUCCUAAUUUUGGAAAUUGUCAGUGGUAGGAAGGCUAACAGCUUCCAAUACAAUGAACAACAUAUAAGUCUUCUAGCUUAUGCAUGGCAAUCGUGGUCCGCAAGCAUGGGCGUACAAAUGAUAGAUGAAGCAUUGGACUCAUUUUCCUCAUCAGAAGCAAGCAGAUGUGUAAAUAUUGGACUUCUCUGUGUACAAGAUCA
rnacentral:misc_RNA from 1 species